GCUUUGUGUACUAUUGUUUGUCUAUUUGUCUGUUGUUUUUUUUUUUGUAGCCAUGGCGUUGUCAGUUUAUUUUUGACUUAUGAGUUUGAAUGUCCCUCUGGUAUCUUUCGCCUCUCUUUUAUGAAUUGCUAUUUCAUUUUUAUGAUUGUUGUUUCUUAGAUGUUCAAGACAUCUCUCCAAGUGAUUUAUUACUGCCAACACGAUAUGGGUGCGUAUGCAAUAUUCGAUACAGUGGUACCUGUAUGAUACGACACCUAAGUUAUAUUACACAUUUUGUCGGACUAAAAAAUAAUUUCUUUGUAUAUUCUUGUGAUUCCUUACUUACUCUUGUUAUUCAUUAAUAUUGCUUACUAAUUAUCAAGGUUUACGCUUCAUAUUAAAAUAAUACAAUGUGUUUGUGAUUGCCA
rnacentral:lncRNA from 1 species